rnacentral:rRNA from 1 species
GACGAACGCUGGCGGCGUGCUUAACACAUGCAAGUCGAACGGAAAGGCCCUGCUUUUGUGGGGUGCUCGAGUGGCGAACGGGUGAGUAACACGUGAGUAACCUGCCCUUGACUUUGGGAUAACUUCAGGAAACUGGGGCUAAUACCGGAUAGGAGCUCCUGCUGCAUGGUGGGGGUUGGAAAGUUUCGGCGGUUGGGGAUGGACUCGCGGCUUAUCAGCUUGUUGGUGGGGUAGUGGCUUACCAAGGCUUUGACGGGUAGCCGGCCUGAGAGGGUGACCGGCCACACUGGAAGUGAGACACGGUCCAGACUCCUACGGGAGGCAGCAGUAGGGAAUCUGCCGCAAUGGGCGAAAGACUGACGGAGCAGCGCCGCGUGAGUGAUGAAGGUCUUCGGAUCGGAAAACUCUGUUAUUAGGGAAGAACAAAUGUGUAAGUAACUAUGCACGUCUUGACGGUACCUGAUCAGAAAGCCACGGCUAACUACGUG